UUCACCUUGCUGCCAGGGCUAUGUCUG
rnacentral:piRNA from 1 species